UCAAAGAUUAAGCCAUGCAUGUGUCAGUACAAACCCAAUUAAAGUGAAACCGCGAAUGGCUCAUUAAAUCAGCUAUGAUUCAUUGGAUCUGUACACCCAGUUUUCCUUGGAUAACUGUGGUAAUUCUAGAGCUAAUACAUGCACAUAUAGUCCCUAACCUAACGGGAAGGGCGCUUUUAUUAGUAUCAAAACCGGUCGGGCUUCGGUCUGUAAACCCACCAGUGAUGACUCUGGAUAACUUUUAGCUGAGCGCACGGUCUUUUGCACUGGCGCCGCUUCUUUCAAGUGUCUGCCUUAUCAGCUUUCGAUUGUAGGUUAUGUGCCUACAAUGGCUAUAACGGGUAACGGGGAAUCAGGGUUCGAUUCCGGAGAGGGAGCCUGAGAAACGGCUACCACAUCUAAGGAAGGCAGCAGGCACGCAAAUUACCCACUCCCGGCACGGGGAGGUAGUGACGAAAAAUAACGAUGCGAGACUCAUCCGAGGCCUCGCAAUCGGAAUGAGUACACUUUAAAUCCUUUAACGAGGAUCAAUUGGAGGGCAAGUCUGGUGCCAGCAGCCGCGGUAAUUCCAGCUCCAAUGGCGUAUAUUAAAGUUGUUGCGGUUAAAAAGCUCGUAGUUGGAUUUCAGUGUUGGACUGAUAAGUGUUUUCACCGUCUGGUGAUUAUACUGAAUCAAGCUUCGAAACCCGCUAGCACAACAAGAGAUUGUUGUGUAAUAUGGCUCCACUAGCUCACACGGGGUGCUCUUAACCGAGUGUCCCGAGUGGCUGGUAUGUUUACUUUGAAAAAAUUAGAGUGCUCAGAGCAGGCUAAUAAUGGCCUGAAUGUCUAUGCAUGGAAUAAUAUAAGAGGACCUCGGUUUUAUGUUUUGCCGUGUUUCUUUUGGAAACCCGAGGUAAUGAUUAAUAGUGACAAAUGGGGGCAUUAGUACUGCGACGCUAGAGGUGAAAUUCUUGGACCGUCGCAAGACUAACAACAGCGAAAGCAUUUGCCAAGGAUGUUUUCAUUAAUCAAGAACGAAAGUUAGAGGUUCGAAGGCGAUCAGAUACCGCCCUAGUUCUAACCAUAAACGAUGCUAACCAGCGAUCCGCCGAUGUUAUUCCCAUGACUCGGCGGGCAGCUUCUGGGAAACCAAAGUCUUUGAGUUCCGGGGGAAGUAUGGUUGCAAAGCUGAAACUUAAAGGAAUUGACGGAAGGGCACCACCAGGAGUGGAGCCUGCGGCUUAAUUUGACUCAACACGGGAAACCUCACCAGGCCCAGACACUGGAAGGAUUGACAGAUUGAGAGCUCUUUCUCGAUUCAGUGGGUGGUGGUGCAUGGCCGUUCUUAGUUGGU
rnacentral:rRNA from 1 species